CCUACGGGCGGCAGCAGUGGGGAAUAUUGGGCAAUGGGCGCAAGCCUGACCCAGCAACGCCGCGUGAAGGAAGAAGGCCUUCGGGUUGUAAACCUCUUUUAUCAGGGACGAAGCAAGUGACGGUACCUGAUGAAGAAGCCACGGCUAACUACGUGCCAGCAGCCGCGGUAACAAGUAGGUGGGACGCGUUAUCCGGAUUUACGGGGAGUAAGGGGCGAGUAGGCGGGUGUGCAAGUCAGAUGUGAAAACUAUGGGCUCAAACCAGAGCCUGCAUUUGAAACUGUACUUCUUGAGUGCUGGAGAGGCAAUCGGAAUUCCGUGUGUAGCGGUGAAAUGCGUAGAUAUACGGAGGAACACCAGUGGCGAAGGCGGAUUGCUGGACAGUAACUGACGCUGAGGCGCGAAAGCGUGGGGAGCAAACAGGAUUAGAUACCCCUGUAGUC
rnacentral:rRNA from 1 species